UACGUAGGGACCAAGCGUUGUUCGGAUUUACUGGGCGUAAAGGGCGCGUAGGCGGCAAUUCAAGUCAUCUGUGAAAUCUCCGGGCUUAACUCGGAACGGUCAGGUGAUACUGCUUGCUAGAGUGCAGAAGGGCAAUCGGAAUUCUUGGUGUAGCGGUGAAAUGCGUAGAUAUAGGAAGGAACACCAGUGGCGAAGGCGACCACCUGGACUGAUACUGACACUGAGGUGCGAAGCGUGGGGAGCGAACAGG
rnacentral:rRNA from 1 species